rnacentral:rRNA from 1 species
UACGGAGGGUGCAAGCGUUAUCCGGAUUCACUGGGUUUAAAGGGUGCGUAGGUGGGUAAGUAAGUCGGUGGUGAAAUCCUCCAGCUUAACUGGAGAAGAGCUGUCGAUACUGGAUGUCUCGAGGGGUGCAGGGGUCUGCGGAACUUCGGGUGGAGCGGUGAAAUGUGUAGAGAUCCGAAGGAACGCCGGUGGCGAAAGCGGCGGACUGGGCACCUUCUGACGCUGAGGCGCGAAAGCCAGGGGAGCAAACGGG